rnacentral:rRNA from 1 species
GAUGAACGCUAGCGACAGGCUUAACACAUGCAAGUCGAGGGGCAGCAUGAUUUGUAGCAAUACAGAUUGAUGGCGACCGGCGCACGGGUGAGUAACGCGUAUGCAACUUACCUAUCAGAGGGGGAUAGCCCGGCGAAAGUCGGAUUAAUACCCCAUAAAACAGGGGUCCCGCAUGGGAAUAUUUGUUAAAGAUUCAUCGCUGAUAGAUAGGCAUGCGUUCCAUUAGGCAGUUGGCGGGGUAACGGCCCACCAAACCGACGAUGGAUAGGGGUUCUGAGAGGAAGGUCCCCCACAUUGGUACUGAGACACGGACCAAACUCCUACGGGAGGCAGCAGUGAGGAAUAUUGGUCAAUGGCCGAGAGGCUGAACCAGCCAAGUCGCGUGAAGGAAGAAGGAUCUAUGGUUUGUAAACUUCUUUAUAGGGGAAUAAAGUGGAGGACGUGUCCUUUUUGUAUGUACCCUAUGAAUAAGCAUCGGCUAACUCCGUGCCAGCAGCC